CAGCAGCCGCGGGAAUACGAAGGGGGCUAGCGCUGUUCGGAUUUACUGGGCGUAAAGGGCGCGUAGGCGGACUGAUAAGUCAGGGGUGGAAUCCCAAGGCUCAACCUUGGAACUGCCUUUGAUACUGUUUGUCUUGAGUUCGAGAGAGGUAAGUGGAACUGCGAGUGUAGAGGUGAAAUUCGUAGAUAUUCGCAAGAACACCAGUGGCGAAGGCGGCUCACUGGCCCGGAACUGACGCUGAGACGCGAAAGCGUGGGGAGCGAACAGGAUUAGAUACCCCGUAGUCCCUGUCUCUUAUACA
rnacentral:rRNA from 1 species